AUUGAACGCUGGCGGCAGGCUUAACACAUGCAAGUCGAGCGGGCGAGGUUACUUCGGUAACUGAGCUAGCGGCGGACGGGUGAGUAAAGCUUAGGAAUCUGCCUAUUAGUGGGGGACAACAUUCCGAAAGGGAUGCUAAUACCGCAUACGUCCUACGGGAGAAAGCAGGGGAUCACUUGUGACCUUGCGCUAAUAGAUGAGCCUAAGUCGGAUUAGCUAGUUGGUGGGGUAAAGGCCUACCAAGGCGACGAUCUGUAGCGGGUCUGAGAGGAUGAUCCGCCACACUGGGACUGAGACACGGCCCAGACUCCUACGGGAGGCAGCAGUGGGGAAUAUUGGACAAUGGGGGGAACCCUGAUCCAGCCAUGCCGCGUGUGUGAAGAAGGCCUUUUGGUUGUAAAGCACUUUAAGCGAGGAGGAGGCUUACCUGGUUAAUACCUGGGAUAAGUGGACGUUACUCGCAGAAUAAGCACCGGCUAACUCUGUGCCAGCCGCCGCCGUAACAC
rnacentral:rRNA from 1 species